AAACAAAAAAAAACAAUCUCUUAAUGUCUGAUUACAGGGAAAUAUAACUUCCUCUAUUUCCAGGAAGAAAAAUGAAUAAUUUGAUGGACACUGAGCAUAGGUUCUACUGAAGUAAGCGUUGAUUUCCAAACCUUGAUAUUUCAGACCAAAUCUCUCCAAUGUAUUUUGUGUCAUCACAGAGUUUGCAUCAUCAGAUAAAUUUGGAUACCAAGACACAGGGAGCGAAUGCAAUAAGAAGAUGAAGGCAGAGAUGAGGAUGAUGUUUCUACAAGCCAAAAUACACCCAAGAAUGCCAGAAAAGCACUAGAAGAAUCAGACAUUUGGGAUUCAAAAUCUCCUGUUGUGUUACCUGGAUGAAUAAACUUCCAGAAGCUACUUUAUUUCUUUAGUUCUCAAAUUCUUCAUCUGUGAAUGGGACAGGUCAGCAGCUAUCUUGAAGACUACAUUUCCUGCAUAGGAUUCUGGUUCCUGUUUUUGGAGAGAGCAGGACACACCUUAUUCACAAAUUAUGGUACAAAUUUCUUCUAACCUUCAUGAAGAUUCCUGAAGGACUAACACAUAGCACUGAUCUCUGUUUUACCUAACUUGGAUCUGAUUAAGCUUGAAAGUUGUGCUUGAAAACAUUGAAAAUUAUAUGAAACAGCUCAGAUGCCUGGAGCAAAAGAUUAAAAUUGAGAUAUAAAAUAAAUUACCUAAGGCCUGGGAGAAAAAGCUAAGGAGGGUUUCAUUAGGAAAUUAGAGGGUAACAAAAAGCACUCAUAUAUAAGAAAAAACUUAGAAAGUCAUUUACAUAUAAUGAGGUAUCACUUCACAUCUGCUAGGAUAUAUCUAAUCAUAAAAAGAAAAAGGUAUCAAGUAUUGGCGAGGAUAUGGAGUAACAGAAACCUAUGUACACUCUCAAUUACAAAGUCAUUAUGGAAAAGAAUAUGUAGGUUCUUCAUUACUUAAAAAUAGAAGUGUCAUAUGGUACGACCAUCCCAUAAUUGAAUAUACAACCACAGGAAGAUAAUUCUAGGUGACAAAGAGAUACCUGUACUCCCAAGUACAAUGCAGCAUUAUCUUAAUAACCAAGAUAUAGUGUUGUCAGUCUCCAUUAAUCAAUAAAAUGUGUUACAUGUAUACAUUGGAAAUUUCCAUUCUUAAAAAUGAAGAAAAUCCUGCUACAAGGAUGUACCUCAGGAUAUUAGGUUGUUUUAUAAAUCAGGCAAAGAACAAUAAGCACCAUAUAGUCUCAUACAUGGAACCUAAAUACAUUGAACUCAUUGAAGUAGAGAGUAAAAGGUGGUGAGCAGGAGUUAGGGAGUUGGGACUUUUAGGGAGACAUUGGUCAAAGCAUAUGAAUUUUCAGUUAGACAGUAGGAAUAAGUUAAAGAGAUCCAUGUUAUAACAUCGUGACUAUACUUAACAAUAGUAUAUUGUAAAUUUGAAGUUUGCUAAAAGGAGAUUUUGUGUUCACACCAAAAAAAAUUUGUAUUGGCUUAGUACAUAAAUUAAUUUGAUUAAUACAUUCCACAUUGUAUACAUAUAUCAGAACAUCAUGUACUCCAUAAAUAUGUACACUUUAAUUCUUUUAAAUAAAAUGAACAAAAAUCAUGUGCAUUUUGUAGGGAAAGUCUCAUGUUCAGAAAACACUUCAGAAAACUAUGACC